rnacentral:lncRNA from 1 species
AACGAUGUAAGUAUAUUCAAAUUACACUUGGUAGCUGAGUUAGAGAUAGUUUCUAUACACGUUUGUAAGGGCAGUGUAUGCAAAAAGUUUUUCCUUAAACUCUACCAUUAUGUAUUCUCUUCGCUAUAGCCAUCGAGUAAGCCCAAGAAUUUGUUUGAAGACAAGCGGUCCAGUUUAAACUGGUGGUACUCGGCACACCGGACGACGUUCUUCGAAAGCAGCACGGACCUGUUGGAAGCUUUAGUCGACGUCAUUUCAAGCUAUUACGUCUUCCACAUAAAUUACCC